UCUAUUAUAUUGAACAAAUUUGUAUAACACUAAUAAAUAUAAUAGAAAUAGCGGAAUUAGCGUGUGCGAAAAAUUUUCGUUGAUCUUCGCUUGCAAAUGCCGGGCUUUCAAUAACUGUGCGUUGUCGGUUUUAUAAGAGCGAGUAAAAUGGAUUUGGACAAUAUCAAAUUUGAGUUUAAGGAAAGAAGCCGUGCAGGUUGCUCUCAAUUAUUAUAUACCCCAAGUGACCAACAAAUUCACAUAAAAAAUAAACAAUUAAAAUCGAAUGAUAUUGCAUAUGUGUGUCGUUCAAAGGAUUGCAGAGCACGGGCUUAUUUAAGUGCAGAUAGGGCUCGCGUCUUUUCCAAUCCCGAAAAAAUUAAGCAUGUUCAUGGACCACAAGGCCAUAAAAUGGAAAAAAUCGAAGUGCUGUCGCAAAUAAAAUUGAAGUGUCAAACCAAUUCCGACGACACCAAAAAAAUAUUUAAUGAUGUUCUCGCCAGAAAAACAAAUGGAGAAGAGGAAAUUGAAAUAAGUUAUGAUGCGGUGAAACGCACUCUACAGCGAAAAAGACAACCCUUUCUUCCAAAAUCUCCAAUUACUCCCGAGGACGUGCGCGAUGCUUUCAAUGAUGAAAAUAUCAUGAACAGUUUUGGCAUGACAAAAGGAAAUUUUCCGAAAGUUUUUUAAAGAAAUUAUAUGCAUCAAGUUCAUUUGCCUAUUGUGUAGGUCAUCACUUUGAUGCAAGCCAAUAUUGAGGAGCAGAAUAGGUAUUUUUUAAUAGAUGCUACAUUUAAAGUUUGCCCUUUCGGGGACUUUAAGCAACUGCUUCUUAUUUAUGUUAAACACAUACAAAAGAUAACACCGUUCCUUUUUGUUUUGAUGACUCGUAAAACAGAGCUCUGUUACCAACACCUAUUUACAUAUGUUGACUCAAAUAUUUGCUGUCUUAAUGGUGCAUCAUUUAUAUCGGAUUAUGAGAAGGCGAUGCGCAACGCUUUGAAAAAUAUGAAUUUCUUUUCUUGCUGGUUCCAUUUUACCCAAGCAUGUAAAAGAAAUGCAAUCAAAACUAUUGGUUUGGAGAAAAUGCUAUCGUGCAAUAAACAUGCGUAUGUAUAUGUGGUUUAUGAAAUUUCUAUAUUUACCUCUUUUACCGGAAUGCAAGAUUGUUGAAGCAAUUAAUCUUCUUGAAGCUCAAGCCACAGCCUUAGAUAAGAAGAUUUUUUCGCCCUUUUUAAAAUAUUUUAAGAAGCAGUGGCUUAAGAAGGAAAGACCUAAAAAUAUAUCGGUAUACAAACGAUCCACAAGAACCACGGGUUCAGUCGAAGCAUAAAUCUGGGCAAUAAAAUUCGAGCAAAGGGACACUUUUUCAAAUUUGUGGAAUGGAUCAUUGAUGCGGAGUAUGAAAAAAGUCGAGAAUUCGCUCUUCUCUUUCAAAAUGGUGGGAUAGGUAAUUCAACACAACCAAAAACUAUACGUCUAAGAUCGCGCUCAAAAAAUUGUGGAUGCAAUGGAUUUGUUUGACAAGGGAGAAAUUGACAUACAGGGUUUUUUGACACGAACUGUUUCGCUAAAUGACCGUUUUAAAAAACAGGACCUGUUUGACAGUGUGCAUAUGGACUUCAAUUUGUCCGGAAUGUCAUCUGAAAUGAAGGCAUCAACAUCAUCGCUUUUGUCGAGUGACUCAAAAUCUAGUCGAAUAUCCGAUUCAUCUAUAUUUCAAAUGAAUCCCUGCAAUGUAUGUCUCAUCGAACCAAAAUCGGUUUUAUUGCGCCAAUGUAAUCAUGUGAAUAUUUGUGCAGCAUGUUGGGAUCAAAUUCUGGCUCAUAAUCAAGAACAGAACGAUGAUCCUAACGAUCCUGACAGUGGUGAACCAAAAUGUCCAUCGUGUCAACAAGUUGUCAAAGAAGAUAUCCGUAAUGUUUAUAUAUAUAAUUAAAAAAUUAAAAUAAUAAACUAAGUUUCAUGCACAUUAAAUAAAUUUAUGUAAUAUGGGCAAUUCUUUGACAGAAUUUGUGCGACCGUCUUUACAGUGAAAAAAACAUAAACUAAACCAAUUUGAAAAUAAGUGAGUUAUUCUUACUAAUCUAGAGCUAUGAGAAAAACCUUUCCUUAUUUUCAAAAUGUGUAUAGUUUAUGUUUUUUUCACUGUAAUGACGUUCCUACAAAUUCGGUCACAGAAUUGUUCAUAUGUAUAAUAUAUAAUUUGAA